rnacentral:sRNA from 1 species
CCCACAGCUUGCGCAGUGGGCUAAAUUCUGCCGCCCCGAUGGGGCU